AUGAACGUCUCAAAAAUAAGCCUAGUCAUCUAACUAAAGUGGAAUGGAAGUUCUUGGUUGACUAUUGGAGUGAAGAGGCGGUUAUGGAGAAGAGCAAAAAAGCAAGUGAAAGUAGGGCACAUCAGAAGAUGCCUCACUAUAAUGGCACUAAAAGCUUCGGUCGCACUAGACAAGAAAUAGUAUGUAACAACUACUCUUUCUAAUUUUAACUUUUGAUUCUUGCCAUAUAUAGGACUACAAUACUCUAUGAUGUCACAUCAAGGCUUAAUUACUACCUUUACUACACUCUAUCAUUUUCUAAAGAGCUCAAAAGACUACACUAAAUAAACUAAUGAGACAAGCAUUUGUUAAAGCUGUAAGUGGUUAGUGUUGCAGGCUGUUGUGGGUGGAGAGUGCUCCCCUGCUGCUGCUGCAUUUUCUAUGACUUGCACACAAGCCCUGCCUGCUCACUAGCCCCCUCCCUUCCUGCAUACCAGCCCCCUCCCUGCCUGCACACCUGCCCCGACCCCUUCCUGCCAGAUGCCACCUGCCUGCACAUACCUGCAUCCCCUCCCUACUUGCACACCAGCCUCCCUUCCCUGGAUUUCCUACACACCAACCUAGUCCUUUCAUACAUAACAACCCCCACUCCCUCCUACUACUUACCUGCCUGCUUGCACACUAGCCCCCCUCGCCCUAGCAUUCCUGCACACCACGUCACCACCCACGCCCCCCUUCCCUGGCAUUCCUGCACACCACGUCACCACCCACGCCCCCUUCCCUAGCAUUCCUGCACACCACCCACGCCCCUUUCCUGCACACACCUAAUUAUAAUUUUCUGUUUUUUUUUUAUUUAUUUUUUUAUUUUUUUUAUAAGCUGAAUUCUGAACACAUGGAAAAUUAAAUUCUAUUGGACAUAACUAAAUGUCAUUAAAAUUUUAUGAAGUAAUUCUCGCACUUAUUCAAAAUAUGCAAACGUACAAUAAUUAGGAGUGUAAUUUAAUUCUAAAAACUCUGUAAUGUUUGCAGAGGAAUAAGAAUGGCGGGAAGUGUUCUCGAGUUGAUGUAUUGGUUGCAACUCGUACAAGAAAAUCUGAGAAGGUUGUGAAUGCAAUCAAUUUGGAAAAUAACACUCAUGCAGUAGUAAGUUUAUAAGUUUUAUGUUUGUUAUUUUCCAUUUAACAUUUACCAUCUUAUCUUCUAACUUAAUAUUGUUUAUUCAUAGGAUGAGAUAAACAAAUUAAAGGAACUAAGAGAGCAAGGUCUUAAUGAGAAAAUAGAUGAGCAAAUUAUUCAGGAUGUGCUUGACAAAGAUACACAUGGGUAUUUGAAAGCAUAUGGACCUGGUAGAAGUAUUACGCAACAUUUUAAAGUAAAGCCCUCUCGAAUUGAUCUUACUCAAGAGGUGAAUGAAGUUAAAAAGAAAGCAGAUCAAGCAAUUGAAGAUGCAAGAAAAGAAGCUGAAAAUGCUAUAACAGAAGGAGAACAGGCUAAAUUAGAAACUGAACAAGCCAAAAAAGAGGUGGAAGCUGUUAAGAAUGACGUGGACAGAAAAAUUGCUGAUAAUAAUGAAGUUUGGGAGAAGAAGUUUAGUCAAAUUCUGGAUUUUCUUGGAGCAGGAAGUUCAUCAGAUUCUGAUGUUUCAGGAUGUCAAGGUUCAAAGGAAUGAAGUAACAAGGAGCGGAGCACAGACAUAUUGUCACAUGGUAUAUAUAGAGUAUAUAUUGUUCUUUAGCAACAUGAUUUGAGUGUUCUUUUUUUUUUUUUUUUUUUUUUUUUUUUUUUUUUUUUUUGGGUAAGAGUGAGCUAGUGAUGAGACAAUUGAUUUAUAGUAUGUUUGUAUGUAUGGAUAUCAAACUCAAGUGUGUUUGAAUGUACGGGAUUCCAAGACAUUAAUAUGAUUUUUUUCAAUGUUAUGUAUCUAUUUCAGCAAUGACAAAUAUGAUAUAUUUGAGGAAAAAUCCUUCUGUAAUAUUCAGUUAUGCUUAUAUCAUAGAUAAUGCUGCAACAAAUUAAAGCUUA